GCUUACGGCCAUACCACCCUGAGUGCGCCUGGUGUCGUCUGAUCUUGGAAGCUAAGCAGGGUCGGGCCUGGUUAGUACUUGGAUGGGAGACCACCUGGGAAUACCAGGUGCUGUAAGCU
ensembl:rRNA 5S_rRNA 5S ribosomal RNA